rnacentral:rRNA from 1 species
UCGCCUGUUUUACAAAAACAUGUCCUUUAGAAUUGUGUAUUUAAGGUUUGACCUGCCCGUUGAUUUAUAAAAAUUGAAAGGCCGCAGUAUCCUAACUGUGCAAAGGUAGCAUAAUCAUUAGUCUUUUAAUUGAAGGCUGGAAUGAAUGGUUGGACGAAGUAUUAUCUGUUUCAUAAAUAUUAAUAUAGAAUUUUAUUUUUUAGUGAAAAAGCUAAAAUGUUAUUAAAAGACGAGAAGACCCUAUAGAUCUUUAUAAUUAAUUAUAUUAUUCUUUUGAAGGAUAAGGUUUAGUUUAAUAUAAUAUAUUAUUUUGUUGGGGUGACAUUAAGAUUUAAUAAACUCUUAGUUGAUUUAUUACAUUGAUUUAUGAUUACUUGAUCCUUUAUUAGAGAUUAACAAAUUAAGUUACCUUAGGGAUAACAGCGUAAUUUUUUUGGAGAGUUCAUAUCGAUAAAAAAGAUUGCGACCUCGAUGUUGGAUUAAGAGAUAAGACCUGGGCGUAGCAGUUCAGUUGAUAAGUCUGUUCGACUUUUAUUUUCUUACAUGAUCUGAGUUCAAAACCGGAGA